AUGGCCACGCGCAAGAGCGGCGGCGGGCCGUCGUCGUUCCCGCGCCGGUGCGCGCGGCUCGUCAGGGAGCAGCGCGCGCGGUUCUACAUCGCGCGCCGCUGCGUCGCCAUGCUUGCGUGCUGGCGCCACUACUCCUGA
rnacentral:rRNA from 1 species